rnacentral:rRNA from 1 species
GACGAACCGUGCAAACGUUGUUCGGAAUUACUGGGCGUAAAGCGCUCGUAGGCGGUUUGUUAAGUCAGCUGUGAAAGCCCCGGGCUCAACCUGGGAACUGCAGUUGAUACUGGCCGACUGGAGUGCGAGAGAGGGAGGUAGAAUUCCCUGUGUAGCGGUGAAAUGCGUAGAGAUGUGGAGGAACACCGAUGGCGAAGGCAGCUCGCUGGGACGGUACUGACGCUGAGGCGCGAAAGCGUGGGGAGCGAACAGG